ACACUCCAACUGGGAGCUGUCAACUCUCACUUUCGUUCAAGCACAUAAAGCUAAUCUGAAUUGCAGACAGAAUGGACAGUCCUGUGACUAAUUCUGCCUUAAUAAACAAAACUGUCUCAGAAAGCUUUAAAAUAGAACAAACCAAUUAAAACCAACCUGUCAACACUCUGGGUGAAGAAAAUGGCUGUUCAUCUAUUUUAAUGUUUAUUGUAAAAUUCAAUGGCUGUUUAAUGUACUGGUUCGUUCAGCUGUUGCACAGUGGCCGCCACCCUGAAAGGAUGAGGACGGAGGUUCAGGGUUGGGUUAGAGUUCGGUUAGGGUGAUGAGGUGAUUGGGAUUGAAUAUUUGGGUGUUUGAGGUUGGUGUUGAUGGCUUUUGCAGUUGGAGUUGUGUGUAAUUAAAGUGACUGAGUUGGGAAAUUACCAGUUGAGGUUGGAAAGUUGGGCAAUUGAGGAAGUUUUGGGCAGUUGAGGUCAGAACAUUGGAAUAAAGUGAUUGACUUUGACGAUUCAGGUGGCCUGAGAGAGUUUAGGGGAUUUAGAGUUGAAGAACUUGGAUGAUUGGAUGAGGUUGGAGGAGUGUGUGAUUUGAAGUAAUUGAGGUUGGAGAGUUUUGAGCAGUUAAAGUGAUUACAGUUGGAGAUUCGGUUGGUUAAGGUUGGAGAUUUGGCUGAAUGAGGUUGGAGAGUUUGGAUGAUUGAAGCUAAAGAAUUGGGUGAUUUGAGGUUGGAGAGUUUCAGUAAUCGAGUUUGGAGGUGUGUGUGAUUGAACUGAGUGAAGUUGGAGAAUUGGUCAGUUGAGAUUUAAGAUUUGGAUGAUUGACGUUGGAGAUUUGGGAUGAUUGAGGUUGGAGAGUUGGGAUGAUUGAGGUUUGAGAGCUUGGAUGAUGAUUGAGGUUGGAGAGCUUGGAUGAUGAUUGGGUUGGAGAGCUUGGAUGAUGAUUGGGUUGGAGAGCUUGGAUGAUGAUUGAGGUUGGAGAGCUUGGAUGAUGAUUGAGGUUGGAGAGUUGGGAUGAAUGAGGUUGGAGAGCUUGGAUGAUUGAGAUUGGAGAUUUGGGUGAUUGAGGUUGGAGAGUUGGGAUGAUUGAGAUUGGAGAUCUUGGAUGAUUGAGAGUGGAGAUCUUGGAUAAUUGAGGUUGGAGAGCUUGGAUGAUUGACGUUGGAGAGCUUGCAUGAUUGAGGUUGGAGAGCUUGGAUGAUUGAGAUUGGAGAUCUUGGUUUAUUGAAAUUGGAGAUCUUGGAUUAUUGAGGUUGGAGAGUUUGGGUGAAUGAGGUUGGAGAGUUUGGGUGAAUGAGGUUAGAGAUUUUGGGGGAAUGAGGUUGGAGAUGUUGGAGAGCUUGGAUGAUGAUUGAGGUUGGAGAGCUUGGAUGGCGAUUGAGGUUGGAGAGCUUGGAUGACGAUUGAGGUUGGAGAGCUUGGAUGACGAUUGAGGUUGGAGAGGUUGGAUGAUGAUUGAGGUUGGAGAGCUUGGAUGAUGAUUGAGGUUGGUUGGAGAGCUUGGAUGAUGAUUGAGGUUGGAGAGCUUGGAUGGCGAUUGAGGUUGGAGAGCUUGGAUGACGAUUGAGGUUGGAGAGCUUGGAUGACGAUUGAGGUUGGAGAGGUUGGAUGAUGAUUGAGGUUGGAGAGCUUGGAUGAUGAUUGAGGUUGGUUGGAGAGCUUGGAUGAUGAUUGAGGUUGGAGAGCUUGGAUGAUGAUUGAGGUUGGAGCGCUUGGAUGAUUGGGGUUGAAGUUCUGUGUGAUUUGAAGUGAUUGAGGUUUGAGAGUUUCAGUGAUUGAGGUUGAAGAUGUGGGUGAUUUGAGGUUGGAGAGCUUGGAUGAUUGAGCUUGGACGAUUCAGGUGACUACGAUCAGUGAAUUUGUGUGAUUGAGGUUGUAGGGUUCGGUAAUUGAGUUUUAGAGGUUUGAUUGAACUGAAUGAAGUUGGAGAAUUGGUCAGUUCAGGUUGAAUGAUUUGAGGUUGAAAAACUGGGUGAUUUAAAUUGGAGAUUCAGGUGAUUUGAAGUUGAAGAAUUGGGAAUUUGUGGUGAUAAGGGUAGAGAUUUGUGUGUUAGAGAUGAUUGAGGUAGAAAUUAUCGGCGUUGAGGUAUAAUCACUGCAGUUGAAAGAGCUUUGUGUUUAUAAUAAAAUUUUUUGUUAUAUUCCACAUUUGAAAUGAAUCUGACCACAGACCAGAUUUAAUAAAAAAGUAUGUAAAGUCAUAAAAGGAGCUAAUAAUUUUUAUAAAUGAACUGAGGAAGCUCUUUGUG